rnacentral:rRNA from 1 species
UACGUAGGGUGCGAGCGUUAAUCGGAAUUACUGGGCGUAAAGCGUGCGCAGGCGGUCUGUUAAGACCGAUGUGAAAUCCCCGGGCUCAACCUGGGAACUGCAUUUGUGACUGCAUAGCUAGAGUACGGUAGAGGGGGAUGGAACUCCGGGUGUAGCGGUGAAAUGCGUAGAUAUCCGGAAGAACACCGAUGGCGAAGGCAACCACCUGGGCCUGCAUUGACGCUGAGGUACGAAAGCGUGGGGAGCAAACAGG